rnacentral:rRNA from 1 species
AGAGUUUGAUCCUGGCUCAGAUUGAACGCUGGCGGAAUGCUUUACACAUGCAAGUCGAGCGGCAGCGCGGGGGCAACCCUGGCGGCGAGCGGCGGACGGGUGAGUAAUACAUCGGAACGUACCCUGUCGUGGGGGAUAACGAGUCGAAAGAUUCGCUAAUACCGCAUACGACCUGAGGGUGAAAGCGGGGGAUCGCAAGACCUCGCGCGAUAGGAGCGGCCGAUGUCGGAUUAGCUAGUUGGUGAGGUAAAGGCUCACCAAGGCGACGAUCCGUAGCUGGUCUGAGAGGAUGAUCAGCCACACUGGGACUGAGACACGGCCCAGACUCCUACGGGAGGCAGCAGUGGGGAAUUUUGGACAAUGGGGGCAACCCUGAUCCAGCCAUUCCGCGUGAGUGAAGAAGGCCUUCGGGUUGUAAAGCUCUUUCGGCAGGAACGAAACGGUCGUCUCUAACAUAGAUGGCUAAUGACGGUACCUGAAGAAGAAGCACCGGCUAACUACGUGCCAGCAGCCGCGGUAAUACGUAGGGUGCGAGCGUUAAUCGGAAUUACUGGGCGUAAAGCGUGCGCAGGCGGUUUCGUAAGACAGAUGUGAAAUCCCCGGGCUUAACCUGGGAACUGCGUUUGUGACUGCGAGACUUGAGUGCGGCAGAGGGGGGUGGAAUUCCACGUGUAGCAGUGAAAUGCGUAGAGAUGUGGAGGAACACCGAUGGCGAAAGGCAGCCCCCUGGGUCGACACUGACGCUCAUGCACGAAAGCGUGGGUAGCAAACAGGAUUAGAUACCCUGGUAGUCCACGCCC